rnacentral:rRNA from 2 species
GUGGGGAAUAUUGCACAAUGGGCGAAAGCCUGAUGCAGCGACGCCGCGUGAGGGAUGACGGCCUUCGGGUUGUAAACCUCUUUCACCAGGGACGAAGCGUGAGUGACGGUACCUGGAGAAGAAGCACCGGCCAACUACGUGCCAGCAGCCGCGGUAAUACGUAGGGUGCGAGCGUUGUCCGGAAUUACUGGGCGUAAAGAGCUCGUAGGUGGUUUGUCGCGUCGUCUGUGGAAUCCCGCAGCUCAACUGCGGGCGUGCAGGCGAUACGGGCAUAACUUGAGUACUGCAGGGGAGACUGGAAUUCCUGGUGUAGCGGUGAAAUGCGCAGAUAUCAGGAGGAACACCGGUGGCGAAGGCGGGUCUCUGGGCAGUAACUGACGCUGAGGAGCGAAAGCGUGGGUAGCGAACAGGAUUAGAAACCCGAGUAGUCC